GGAAUCUUGCGCAAUGGGCGAAAGCCUGACGCAGCCAUGCCGCGUGGAUGAUGAAGGUCUUAGGAUUGUAAAAUCCUUUCACCGGUGAAGAUAAUGACUGUAGCCGGAGAAGAAGCCCCGGCUAACUUCGUGCCAGCAGCCGCGGUAAUACGAAGGGGGCUAGCGUUGCUCGGAAUUACUGGGCGUAAAGGGAGCGUAGGCGGACAUUUAAGUCAGGGGUGAAAUCCCGAGGCUCAACCUCGGAACUGCCUUUGAUACUGGGUGUCUUGAGUGUGAGAGAGGUGAGUGGAACUCCGAGUGUAGAGGUGAAAUUCGUAGAUAUUCGGAAGAACACCAGUGGCGAAGGCGACUCACUGGCUCAUUACUGACGCUGAGGCUCGAAAGCGUGGGGAGCAAACAG
rnacentral:rRNA from 1 species